rnacentral:rRNA from 1 species
AGCCUAAAGUUUUAUUUUAGGUGAUACCUGCCCAGUGCCAAAUUGUAAACGGCCGCAGUACCUUGACUGUGCUAAGGUAGCAUAAUCAGUUGGCUUUUAAAUGGAGUCGGGAAUGAAUGGGGUAAUGGGGUUAAGCUGUCUCCAAUAUAUUAAUUUUAAUUUGACUAUUAGGUGAAAAUGCCUACUAAUAGAAAAAAGACGAGAAGACCCUAGGAGUUUUUAUUAAAGAGUUAUUAAGGUUAACUUACCAUUUUUGUUGGGGCGACAUAGGAGGACCAACUCUAACCUCCUUUUUAUAUGUGCCGACUCUGUAUGAAAAUCUAAACUACCCUAGGGAUAACAGCGUAAUUUUAAUUUAAGUUUGCGACCUCGAUGUUGGACUAGGAAUUUGGUGGACUAGCCGUCUAUUUUUAUUGUUCUGUUCGAACUAUUUUUCC